AGCUGGAUCUUCAUUGAUUGAGAAACAAAUCAAACAUUUCAUUAUAAGAAGAAAUGAGGCAGAUCAUUUAGUUAACAGCUCCAAAAACAAAAAGGAUUUAUAACUGAAAAUUUUAUGAGAAGAAUACUUACUGCUUACUCAACAGAAGACUUCUGGUUCAACCAUAAAAACAACUCUAUUUAAAUACAUUUACUUUAAUCUCAUCUCUUUUUAAAAUUGUAAGAGAGAUGCUACCUCAUUCACCUUGAUUUCGACCCACGAGAUCUCGAAUGUUCUCUGGAACUGGAACGAGAUCUUGACUGCGAACUGGAAGAACUUCUUGAACGGGACCUGGAACAACAUGGAAGGAUUUUUUUUUCCAGGACCACUUAAUUGAACUUUGUGAUAUGAACACUGAAAGAAAGAUAUGCAUUAGAAUUCGUUUUCAUGUAAAAGGACAACUAUUUUGAUAUAUGUUUUCAUAACAUAAUAUUUUAAAGUAACUCUUUGUUUUGAUAUUUAUGCAAAAACUUAAAGAUAUAGGUAAUUUAAAAAAAAUAAUCAACUAUCACUUUUCAAGUUUGACAAAAUUACUCUAAAUAUUACUCAAGAUUGUACAAAUUAAAACAUUCAGUAUUAUCACUUUAUUAACACUGAAUACUUUACAUUUACAAUAUUUAAAAGUAACUUAACAGGAUUUAACAUGUCCAAGGAUUUGAAUGUUGCAGUUUACAUUUAAUUAACUUCUCUGAAAUAUCUAUUAAUUUUCCUUAUAAAAUCCCUUCCAUUUCCUCAUUCACUAUUUAGUAUGAAGCUUUAAAUGUUGACAUGUGUAUGUUUGUUUAACCCUAUUUUUCUUCCUGCUCAAAUGUUAGAGAAUUAAAGGGAAAAUACAUUAACAACCCUGUCAUUGUUUUAGGUAAUUAUAUAAUU